AGCUGUCAGACAGGGACAUUUAAGUCUGCAGAGGUUACUGCUGUCUUUUUGUUUGUCUGUGCCCUGCCCCCAGAGGUGGAGCCUACAGAGGCAGGCAGGCCUCCUUGAGCUGUGGUGGGCUCCACCCAGUUCGAGCUUCCCAGCUGCUUUGUUUACCUAAUCAAGCCUGGGCAAUGGCAGGCGCCCCUCCCCCAGCCUUGCUGCCGCCUUGCAGUUUGAUCUCAGACUGCUGUGCUAGCAAUCAGCGAGACUCCGUGGGUGUAGGACCCUCCGAGCCAGGUGCGGGAUGUAAUCUCGUGGUGCACCGUUUUUCUUAAGCCGGUCCGAAAAGCGCAAUAUUCGGGUGGGAGUGACCCUAUUUUCCAGAGAUAUGGAUAUGAGAGGCAUUCCUCCACAGAAGAGGCUUAACCACUUUGGCCCUUGAGAUCUUUACUUGAUCAAAACUUCUACAAGCGUGCUGGCAUGCCGGAGUCAGCUAGAAUUGGAUUGCCAGAGCCUGUUGUGUGCACCUGUCCCCAACUCUGUCCAGCGACCUCAGCCUCCUUUCACAGAGACUGAAUUUCAAUCAGCUGCUAUCAGUUGACAAUGAUAAAAUUAUCUCUAUAUGAGCAAAUGCGUGCUCUUUGUCAAAAAAGAAAGCUUCAGCUUCAUGUUCCAGCCUGUCAGCUGAGCAAAGGAGGGAAACUCAGGGUGGAGAACUCCUCCCCCUCCAUCCAUAAGUGGCACACCACUGGCCUCCUGGUGUUAUUAAAGGAAAAUUGGAAAAGUUUCCAGAAGAUUAAGCAGAAAGCUUACAACUUGCACAAGACUCUCAAUUUUCCAGUGGCUCUGACAGAAGGAUAAAUCUUCGGCUGUUUUAACUAAAAUGGACGGUCAAGUUGGUAUCCAUCGUGAAGCUAAAUGAAUAUCUGGACAGGAGUCAGACAAAGGGAAGGAGAAUCCAGGGGAAGAUGAAGCAGCUGCAGGCCUGUCUGCUACCCUAUAUCCGGGGAAGAGCCAGAAAUUGCUGACCAUAGAGAGUUACAUUGUCCAGCUUUUCCUCCACGAAAUGGAGCAGCAACAAAAGGCCAGAUCAUUCAACCUAUGCUUCCUCAAGUCUGAUAACAUUAGCGUUUCUCUCAGAUAUCAGUUCAAGUAAGGAGUUGCCAAUAGAAGCAAAGAUGCCAGGAAUCAUUGUUUUUAUUUCAGUGUCCUUAUGAAGACCUUUGAGCACAAUGGAACGAUGAGGCAACAUUAAAUAUUACUGGAAUGGGGUAUGAAAGCAGCUACUAGAAAAUCCUGCAAGAAAAAUAGAUGGAGAAACUGAGUGCUAAGAGUCUUGCCUUUUAGCUGUCAAAAGUUUGAAGAUGAAACAAAUCUGGAACAGCUGAUUUCUAUUGUGGCAGCUAUUACCCAUUUUUGUUAUGCAUCUGUCUCUUCCCAGACUAUAAAUUAUUUAAGGUGUGGGUCAGAGACCUAGGCAUUUCUUAUGGCCAGAACCUUAAGCAAUGUCUGGGAUAUAGCAGAUAUAACAGACUCUCAGCUAUUGCAUGAAUUAAGGAAUGAACUUGAGAAAUACUUUUAAGUAUUUUCUUCCUGGAAAAGAGACUCCAACUGUCUUUUGCACAGUGCUUUAAACUCAUACCAUUAAUCACUCUUUGAGACUAAAGCUCUGAUAACCUGAGUGAAGAAUUGGUUACAAGGACAUUACAAUGCACCAUGCUACCUUCAGCCAUUUGUUCUUCUGCAUAAAUUGUUUUGACCGAUUAGCCAAUCAGUCACCAACAAGACCCAAAAGGAAUGAGAAUCUAAAGAGAUUGUCACCAUUUGGUGGGUUUGAACACCAAGAGGAUAGAGCCUAGAGCAUUGUGGUCUGCUUCAAGACUUCUGAGAGGCAACAAGAAUGCAGAUAUGAUGCCUCUAAGAGAAGCAGCCAUCUUUUGCAUCAAAGAUUAUAUAACAGAAAAGUAGAAGAGGCUGGAGACUCUGAUGUCAUGCUUGUGUUGCCAUACGGUCCUGAACUGCUUCUUCUCAAAGCAUGGAACAAGUGAGGAUUUUCUUAUGAGUCCUGAGAGAAGCUGAGGGCUUCAAGCAAUGAGAUUUGAGUCUACCUCCCUUCAUCAAAAGUGCAGCUAGAAAAACUUGGAGAAGCAACCAGAAUGGGAGUUGGGAGGGUAAUACUUUUACAUCAAAACAACACUAGCUUUAUUGGCUGAAAUAAGAGCAAAGUAUGUAAGUAGAAAUGAUAUUAAUCUGUCAUGCAUAUCACCUCUCAAGUGGUUCCUCAACAAUAGUGUUAAUCAAGCUUUGCCCUACUUUUAUCGGAAACCUGGUGAAGAAUAGCUUUGACAUUUAUCAGACAUAGGACACUAAGAAAAUUGCCGUAUGUAUAAAUAAAUUUAUGCCUUGAAAAUGUUUGUGCCAUGCUCUGGGAAAGGGGAUCAGGAACAAAUGAGAGGGUAGAGGUAGAAGGGAAAGGUCUGCAGAAUGUGGAGGUGAGAAGGAAAGAAGAAAAGGGUUGGGCAUGGAGGGAGGUAACAUCGGGGCUAAACCUAAUAGGCCUGGGGAGCCUCCAGAGAUUCAGGCAGUUAAGUUUCUCUCCUUUUUUUUUUUUCUGGUGUUCCCAUUUUCAUUUGGGUGGCUUUGGGCAAGUCUUUCUGAAUCUCAGAUGGUGCUAACACUUUCAUCCAACUGAGGAAUCAAUAAGAUGACAGGCUUAAAAGUGUUUUGCUAACUAUAAAGUGGUACACUAAUGUUAUUUAGAGCAAGGAAGAAAAAGUAGAGAGCAUCUAAUAACUUACAAUGCUAUUAUGGUAAAAAAAAAAAAAAAAGUUUGUCCACAGGAUACACAAAGAUGAAUGAGUAAAAAGUGAUUCAUCAAUUAUCCCAGCCUAGGAAGACUCAGCCAAGGAUGGGCAAAAUACUAAAUUCCUCUCUUAGCUAUAUAUGGAAUAGGUCAGGGAGAGGGUUUAUUUUACUGCUCUCCUUCUUAUAAAUGUGGGGUUCAGAAUUGAACAGUUGUUCCAUCAACCAUGACCCUAAAAAGCUGGGUAUGCUAGGAAUCUAGGAGAAGAGAUUCAAAUAUAUUUUCGCUUGGAUAUAAAAAUGGGGAUGAAAAGCCACAGUGGUGACAUGUCAUUUUGCAUACCUCAGAAUUCCAGAGAUCCCUAGCUUUUGAUUCUGUGCAGGCUUUCUGUGGUACUGGCUGUAUCAGCUGCUCUUAACCAUGAACCAGAGCAUCUUGGAGAGGAGCUGCUAAGUGCCUACUGAGUCUGUAGCAUGGAAAACAUGUCUGCAACGUUAAUGGAGAGCUCUGGUUUCUGGGGCUGAGAGAUUUCAAUCACUGAUAUUGUCAGUGAGUGAGGGUGGCCGGGGCCAUGGUGUAUGCUUGUCUGGAAUAAAGAACAACAGUUUUGAAAAAAAAAAUCAAAAAACAAAAACAAAAACAACCUUGCUGAGUAGGUGCCAGGUGUGGUUGGAGCUGGGCCGACUUCCUCCCACGCAACAGGGAGCCCUCCUGCAAGGCCAGGCAGCUCACCACAGCACCACUGCUCAGAAACAGGAGGUUAAUUAGCCCAGCACUUAAUGAGAGCGUCUGGAGGAACUGUUAAGAAAAUACUAAAAAAUAAAUGAGAUGGAGUAACGAUGGAAGGAAGGCAUAGACAUGCUCCGAAAUGGCUGGUAGAAGAAAUAAUAUGGCUGAGACAAAUUGAGAAUGACUGAGCAGCUGAAGCCUGGCCCCAGUGCUGCUGAAGGGGCACCCUCUUAAUGAACAAGCAGUGCAGAGAUGGAGGAACUUAUGAAGCUUGGCAGCUAUGGUGGUGGUGAAGUGUGUGUGCAUAUGUGUGUGUGUGUUGGGGGUAGGGUAGAAUGGGAGAUAGGGUUUCUUUUCAUUUUAAGGACUUUGGAAUCACAAGACUUCUAAGUCAAAGAAAUUAUUAUCUUCUAUCCCUAGGAUCAUUUCUAUUUAUUUCCUAUUAAGCUUGGCACUUAUCAAAAAUAAAUAUUUGUGGAAUAAAUGAGUGGAUUAAAAAAAUGAGUUUUGUUAAUUCAAUGCCAUGAUUUCAUGGCAGUUGUUUUCCAACCAUGCUCUGAAAAGUCUGAGAGUUCCAUGGAGAUAUGUCAGGAAACUCCAUGAAAUUGUUGGCAAACUGCUUAGAUGAGUAUAUGGCUCUUCAGAGAAGUAUUUCAAAGUCCAAACACUCAGCAGGGCCUGAUUUAGAGCUAGGGGUGUAAAUGAGCCAAAUUUCAGCCUGGCUAUCCUAGCCCAAGGUCACAGGGAGAGUUGGUAGCUGAGUUGAGGAUUAAGUCAAGAACUUCUGACUUCAAUUCCAGUGCUCUUUCCAAUUCGCCAUGCUUAAGGCUGCAUAAAUUUCAGAAGGUUGGGCCAAAUAAUACAUCAAAUGUUCAUGCAAAAUUGUCAGUGCCUUGGAAAUGCAAAAAACUUGAGGGGGAAAAAUAAAAAAUUUAGCCAGUUUUUCAGGGAAAUGAUUGUCCAAAAAUGAGGACUUAGACAAUAAACAAAGUCAGGACAGAAAACCCAGUAAAAAUGCACACACAUAGCAUUAUCAAAGAGAUCACAACGCUGUGAAAUCCUACUCUUGAUCUGAGCUACUGUUCUUUGAGGUAAGUAAUAUUAUCCCAAUACUAUAGUCUGAAGGCUAGUAUCCUCUCAAAAUUUAUAUGGUGGACCCAAAUACCUAAUAUAGUUAAAAGGUGGGGCCUUUGGGAUAUAAUUCGGUCAUAAGGGCUCCACUCUCAUAAAUGGGAUUAGUGUACUUAUGGAAGAGUCUCAAGUGAGCUCUCUUGCCUUCUUUAAUCAUGGAAGGAUGUAGCAAUAAGGCAUCAUAUUUCAAAAAGAGAGCAAACCUUGCCCAGAAACCAAAUCUGUAGGAGAAUUGAUCUUGGACUUUCCAGCCUCCAGAACUGAAAACAAUACUAUUCUGUUGUAUAAAUUAUCCAGUCUGAGGUAUUUUAUUAUAGCAGCAGGAACAGACUAAGACGCCCAAUUUACAGAUAAGUAAGCUGAGUCUCUGUGAGAUGAAGUAACUCAACCAAGGUCACAGUGCUAGGAAAUGGCAGACCCUGAAUUCAAACUUAAUCCUAUCAAAUAUGAAUAUCUUCAGUUCCACUAAGUGGAAUAAAUGAGCACAAUGAGAUAAUUAAUAAAGUUGAAAAACAAAUGGGCAAAAUAAUCAGAAAAUACUGACAGAUACUGUGGUGACAAUGAGAGCCAAAGCCGUUGAUCUCCACACUCUGCCUGGGCACUGAGAACUGAAACCACAUUUUAUCACCUACAAUAGCAUGACUGUGCCGUUUUUCUGUCUCUGUUAGCUUGUCUUUCUUAUUGCUCUGUCUUCAUUAGCAUGGCCUUAUUCUUUCAAAAGUCUCUUGCCUGGGCAAAUAUUUUGAUUGUUCAUUACAGGAACUUCCUGAAAGACUCAAUUCUUCGAUGGAAAACAUCAACACUUUGUUCUCCCAAAUUAUUUGAAUUCCUAACUCAAAAUAUUCACUGUGCUAUUUCCACAAAUCCUGGACAGUUUUAUUACAAUCCUUACCCAAAUGUAAUCAAACUCCAACUUUGAAAGAUUUGCCUAAAAUCAAUAGUUUUUAACCUUAUCUUCUCUCCACGAGACACUGACAAAGUGUUGCCAAGUGGUGUUCUUCCUUACAAUAAUAAGCAAAUAAUUAGGGUUUUUUCUUAUUAAGAGGUUGUGUUGGUAAUAUUUGGGGAGCCAGCUUUUGACAAAAAAUCAGCUUUGGAAAGCAUCCAAAUACCAAAAUUCCCUUCAUCCUCACCUCUCAAACAGAGAAGAAAAUGAGGAAUCCAGACCUAGAACACCAAUAAACAGAGCUUUCAAAAGACUCCACUGCUCUGCAGAGAAUAUUUAAGUUCAGAACAAGGGCCAAGUGGUCUGUCGUCUUUACCCUUUUCUCGUAAAUAUAAUAGCUCCUUCUGCAGUCAGAGUUGAAGUCAAUGCUGUUGGGGAGGAAGAGUAAUAUCAAGUAACAUCAAGAAGCCAGAGGCAAAAGGAGGAAGUCAGAGGACCACCUCAUGUCAAAGCUGGGAAGACAAGAGAGUUUAAUAGUGCUACUGGGGUUGGCAUACUGUUCUCUUAGGCUUAUAAUGUCAUAGUGGUGAAGUGGGGGAAACAGAUGCAGAAGUCAAUUUCUAACCAAAAGGUCAGAAUCACAAUGUGACACCUUUCCACCCAAUUCUUUAACACUUUUAAGUUCUUUUUCAAAUUUAUUUAUGAAACCCAAAUUCCAUCUUAAAGGCAUUGCUAUUGGUCUAUCAUUAGAGACAGAGGUGAGAAAUAAAAAAUAGGCUGGGAAAGAAAAUACAUACACUUGAGUUCUCUGUGAUGUGGGGGGCUGUUCUACCAGGAAGCCACCAAAGCACAUAGCCUCCCUGUCACAUAGUGCUCAGGCCGAGGAAAUCACAUAGCCUAUCUGAUAAUUCUGCAACUCAACUCUGAAUGGGAUUACAGGUGGUGUUGCCAAAAUCCUUUCCAUAUUAAUUUGCUGAUUUGAAUUAUUUUAAUCAACCCAGCAUGAUGUCUAGUACAUAACAGUAUUUUAAAAUAGCAGUCAGAUGAUCUGAUCAUUCAAAUUAGGAGGGGCUCUGAAGGUGGCUGAGUAUAGUGAGAGAUGAAUGGUUUAUGACUCUGAUUCAUUGAAUAAAUAUUUAAAAGGAGUCACUACAAGCAAAGAACCACUAUAGUCACUACAAGGGAUGUCAAAAUGUUGGGAUGGAAAAUCAGGAAGAGGGGCAAAACAUGUAUACAAGCCUAGUGCAUGCAGAAGAAACCAGGUGAGGGAGUAGGAGGCAAACUCUUUUAUAUUCAAACUUCCCUUGAAUUUGGCACAUUUUUUGGUUCUACAGAAACAAAACAAAGAGCUUUCUUCUUGCUCUUAAUUUUUUUAAUGUGCUCCCAAACCAUGGUAUUUUCUGUUCUUUAGUAUCAGUUACUUCUCCUCUGUUUUCUAGCUUCUAAAAGUUUACAGGCAUUUCAUUUCUUUCUUUUACUUUUUCUUUUUCUUUUUCUUUUUUUUUUUUUUUUUUUUGAGAUGGAAUUUCACCCCUUCGCCCAGGCUGGAGUGAAGUGGCACAAUCUUGGCUCACUGCAACCUCCGUCCCCCAGGUCCAAGCGAUUCUCCUGCCUCAGCCUCCAGAGUAGCUAGGAUUACAGGCACCCACCACAACGCCCAGCUAAUUUUUAUAUUUUUAGUAGAGACGAGGAUUCGCCAUGUUGGCCAGGCUGGUCGACAUUUCUUUUGAACUGAUGAUUCUACUCAUGAUAUUUUUGCUUUUAGUUACAUUUUGUAUUGUUUCUUUACAACAUUGUACUUUAGGAUGUUUAGGAGAGGAGAAGAGCAAAGGAGAUGAGUAUGAAUAUUAAUCCAUCUUCUUCACCUAGAAGGCAUUCAUUGUCUGGUGCCUGGAGGAAUAACAGUAGUGUCCUAACUAGAUUUCACACCCCAGUUUUGCAAUCCUUAAGACUAUUUGCCACAUCUUUCUAAAUUGCAUGUCUGAUUACACUAUGCUUCUUUGAAGAAGCCUCCAAAAAUUUCAAGUAAUUACUAAAUAAAGUCAAAUUUUCUUGCCAUGACUAAAACAAAGGUCACUAUGAUAUGCACCUGCCCGUAACUUUAAUCUUAUUUCCAUAGACUCUUGGCUCAAAUCUCAUGACCUAAUCCUCUUGAAUGUCUUUCAUAUCCUCACACAUACCAUGCCAGUAUCAGCUUCACACUUUAAUCCCACUAUCCCUUCUUCCUGGAAUGUUAGCACCAUCUCCAUUUUUUUCUGGCCAUCUGAUUAAUCAACUCGUCUUUUGAGACUAUGACAACAUCCUUUCCUCCCUGAAGGCUUCACUAAAUCCUCCAAAUAGAUGCAGCCAUUCCUUUUUUUAUGACCACUCUGUAUCCUGUGCCUACAACUAUUGCAGCAUAUUUUGGCAUGCUUUAAUUAAAAAAGAAAGGAGCCACAAACCCUAUGGUCUCCCUCUAAUAUAUUCUAUGCUCCUCAAAGGCUGACACUGUCUCAUUUAUCUUUUGGCCCUAUUGCUCACCAGAAGGUCUGGCAUAUAAUAGGAACACAUUAAACAUUUGGAACUUUGUCUUCCUCUGCCAUCUGAUAUUGGUAUGCUUUAAUUACUAGCUCAUCUGCAAAAGAUUUUCCCCUCUCCUUACUCCCUAAUACAUGCUUCUUCUUCCUUCUGGCACUGGUCAUAAUAAUCAAGCCCUGGCGUAUCAACCCGCACCACUUAUCUGGGUUCAGAGUAGCAGCUCAAAAUUCAUUAUAAUUUCUGGGAUUUAUCCCAGACUCAGCCCUGAUUCCUGGUUCAUCUCGAUGUCUUGCUUUUCUUUUUCCCACCUGCUGCUUUCCAUGUGUGGUUACUGAUAUAAAGUGCUUUGAUUAAUGGACAAGACAGGGACUAGAACCAGUAAGAUUUCAGCUGAGUCAUGUGUCUCCCCAUUAACAAUUGUGUAACUUGGGUAAGAUACUUAACUGUUCUUAUCUGCAAAACAGAGAUAAUACCUUCCUGAAUUGUUGCUUAAAGAGCAAAUUAGAAAAUAGUUCAAAAUUUAUUAAAAUUCCUUGCAUAUCCCAAACGUUCAACAAAUAUUUGCCUUUUCUUGUUUGUCAUUCAAGUGCUGAGUUGUGCUGAGUCAAGAACUGUACUAAUAGUAAUGUAAAGGCAAGCUUGUUUUAUCAUGAUGUCUGGUUCACUAGUAAGAGCAUUUCUUGCAGAAAGAUCUGGUUACCAGGACUUACAUAAAAUCUUUUUAAAAAAUCACUAUUUGCAGAAGCAUAAUGUUCUAAAUCAGUUUAUUCUAACAAUUAUCAAAUAUUUAUGAACAAUUGUGGAAGUUUCAAGUUUGAACUAUAGUAUCUUUUACUCAAUAAAUGUGUGUUAAACUAUUACCAUGUAUAUAUCUUGAUACUUUGACAUCUACAAGAGUGAAUAUGGCACAGUUCCUACACUCAAGAAGUUCUUUUCUCAAAAUAUAUUUUUCAAUUUUCAUAUAGUAAACUUUACUCUUUUUUUGUAAAAAAAACCACAAUAACAAUCAAUAUACAGAAGAGUUUCAUCCUCCUGCUUAAUAUUCCCUUAUGCUGCUCCUUUGUUGACAAACCUUAUCUCCACCCCCAAACCUCGGCUGCCAAUAUGUGAAAAACUGUUCCUAUAGUUUUGCAUAUUCCAGAAUUUUAUACUUAUAGAAUAUACAAUAUGUAAGCUUUUGUCUGUUUUUCUUUUACUUAGCGUAAUGCUUUUGAGAUUCUUCUAUAUUACUGCAUGUAUAAACAGCUCAAUGCGCUCUAUUGAUAAGUAGUAUUCCACUGAAUGGUUGUACCAGAUUGUCUUUAUCUAUUCAUCUGUUGAACAACAUUGGAGUUGUUUCCAGUUUUAGGCAGUUAAAAAUAAAACUGCUAUGAACAUUCAUUUACAAGUUUCUGUGUGAACAUGUCUUUAAUACUCUUGGGUAAUGAGUGAAAUUGCUGGAUCAUAUGAAAAGUGUAAGUUUGAUUGUACGGGAAACUGCCAAACUAUUUUCCAGAGUAGUUUUGCCAUUUUACAUUUCCACUAGCAAUGUAUGAGAAUUCCAGUUGCUCUGCAUAUUUAUUUGGUACUUUCAGAUUUAAAGUGUUAUCCAUUCUAGUAGGUGUGUAGUAUUUCAUUAUGGUUCUAAUUUGCAUUUACUAAUGAUUAAUGAUUGUGAACAUCUUUUCAUGUGCAUAUUCGUCAUUUAUAUGUCUUCUCUGGUGAAGUCUAUAUUCAA